rnacentral:rRNA from 2 species
AUGCUGGAGGUAUCAGAAGUGCGAAUGCUGACAUAAGUAACGAUAAAGCGGGUGAAAAGCCCGCUCGCCGGAAGACCAAGGGUUCCUGUCCAACGUUAAUCGGGGCAGGGUGAGUCGACCCCUAAGGCGAGGCCGAAAGGCGUAGUCGAUGGGAAACAGGUUAAUAUUCCUGUACUUGGUGUUACUGCGAAGGGGGGACGGAGAAGGCUAUGUUGGCCGGGCGACGGUUGUCCCGGUUUAAGCGUGUAGGCUGGUUUUCCAGGCAAAUCCGGAAAAUCAAGGCUGAGGCGUGAUGACGAGGCACUACGGUGCUGAAGCAACAAAUGCCCUGCUUCCAGGAAAAGCCUCUAAGCAUCAGGUAACAUCAAAUCGUACCCCAAACCGACACAGGUGGUCAGGUAGAGAAUACCAAGGCGCUUGAGAGAACUCGGGUGAAGGAACUAGGCAAAAUGGUGCCGUAACUUCGGGAGAAGGCACGCUGAUAUGUAGGUGAAGUCCCUUGCGGAUGGAGCUGAAAUCAGUCGAAGAUACCAGCUGGCUGCAACUGUUUAUUAAAAACACAGCACUGUGCAAACACGAAAGUGGACGUAUACGGUGUGACGCCUGCCCGGUGCCGGAAGGUUAAUUGAUGGGGUUAGCGCAAGCGAAGCUCUUGAUCGAAGCCCCGGUAAACGGCGGCCGUAACUAUAACGGUCCUAAGGUAGCGAAAUUCCUUGUCGGGUAAGUUCCGACCUGCACGAAUGGCGUAAUGAUGGCCAGGCUGUCUCCACCCGAGACUCAGUGAAAUUGAACUCGCUGUGAAGAUGCAGUGUACCCGCGGCAAGACGGAAAGACCCCGUGAACCUUUACUAUAGCUUGACACUGAACAUUGAGCCUUGAUGUGUAGGAUAGGUGGGAGGCUUAGAAGUGUGGACGCCAGUCUGCAUGGAGCCGACCUUGAAAUACCACCCUUUAAUGUUUGAUGUUCUAACGUUGACCCGUAAUCCGGGUUGCGGACAGUGUCUGGUGGGUAGUUUGACUGGGGCGGUCUCCUCCUAAAGAGUAACGGAGGAGCACGAAGGUUGGCUAAUCCUGGUCGGACAUCAGGAGGUUAGUGCAAUGGCAUAAGCCAGCUUGACUGCGAGCGUGACGGCGCGAGCAGGUGCGAAAGCAGGUCAUAGUGAUCCGGUGGUUCUGAAUGGAAGGGCCAUCGCUCAACGGAUAAAAGGUACUCCGGGGAUAACAGGCUGAUACCGCCCAAGAGUUCAUAUCGACGGCGGUGUUUGGCACCUCGAUGUCGGCUCAUCACAUCCUGGGGCUGAAGUAGGUCCCAAGGGUAUGGCUGUUCGCCAUUUAAAGUGGUACGCGAGCUGGGUUUAGAACGUCGUGAGACAGUUCGGUCCCUAUCUGCCGUGGGCGCUGGAGAACUGAGGGGGGCUGCUCCUAGUACGAGAGGACCGGAGUGGACGCAUCACUGGUGUUCGGGUUGUCAUGCCAAUGGCACUGCCCGGUAGCUAAAUGCGGAAGAGAUAAGUGCUGAAAGCAUCUAAGCACGAAACUUGCCCCGAGAUGAGUUCUCCCUGACUCCUUGAGAGUCCUGAAGGAACGUUGAAGACGACGACGUUGAUAGGCCGGGUGUGUAAGCGCAGCGAUGCGUUGAGCUAACCGGUACUAAUGAACCGUGAGGCUUAACCUU